UGAUUAAACUCAACAAACAUUAAUUAUUAUCUGCUUCUAAAAGUGCUGCUGCUCAGCUUCUGCACUGCACGACCAAAUUUUGGGAACAGGCAACGCGCUGUGUCUGUGUGUGCUUGCUUCUAAAGGACUCGAACGAAGAGUGUAUAUAUGUAUAUAUGCAUAUAAAUACACCCACCACCGUCCACACGUUUCUCACGGAUCUUGGAAUUCUGCCUGCUCCUCCGCCGGAACCCACCGCCACGUCACCCCAAAUUUUUUCGGCCAUCGGAUCCUCCGUCGGAUGGUCCUGAUUUGUUGGGUCAGAUUUUACCAGAAUCUGAUUCUCCUACUUCAACUUACCUUCUUGGCUUUUUCUUAGCUUCUUUCUGGCUUCUUCCACUUCUCAUUGGAAUCCACCCAAAUAGAUAUAUACUCAGUUUUGGCUUCACUUCCCGAAAGCUUCUCUUCCCCUCCUCUCUCUUCCUCGUGUUCGCUCUCUCUCGCUCUCCCUCUUCGACGCGUGCAGGGGGCGACGGCGGCUGCGUGCGUCUUCGGCGGCGGCUGGCGCAACGGCGGCGCCCACCAUCCUCCUCCUACCCAGCCCUCCCUCGCCUGCCUCUCAUCUCCGUCUCUCCCUCCCCUUCCUCUCUCUCUCUCUCUCUCUCUCUCUCUUCCAUUCUCUUCCCUUCCCUUUUGAGAUGGCUGCUGCUACGAGGCGGCGGUGGUGGCCAGGGGCAGCCGGCGUGGUUGGAGCCUAGCACCCCCUCUCCCACAUCUUGCGUGCGGAGCACCUGGACACCUUCUCCCUCUGCUCUGUUUGCUCGUGUGCUACAGGUGCUACAGGAAACCCUAGCUGCCUAUUUUCGAGCAGGUCGCGUUCAUUCUAUUGGUUCAGUUGUUGAUCAGUUUGAUUAGUUCAUGGUUUGUUCUGUGAGUUCCGAUUUAUUUUGAUGGGUUCAGGUUCGACUUCCAGAUGUGCUGAUCCUGCAAGGUCGUUAGUUUAUGGUUUCAAGUAUGAAUUUAUAUUUGUAUUAGUGGGUUCAGGUUCAAUUUCAUACCUAUUCUAUUUUGAUUGCGUAUAUUAAAUAUGUCCUUAUCCUGCAAUCCAAUAUCCUUAGGCUAACUUUUUUUUGCCUUUAUCAAAUAAAUAGGGGCUUCGUGCUCUGUUUCUGAAUCCUCACAGAUUCAUGAUUUUGAAGUGAAGGUAGCAAAUGUUUUUGCAGGAUUGGCAUUACGUAUUAAAGUGCAAAGUCGUUAGUUUAUGGUUUCAGCUGUGAAUUUAUAGUUGUAUUGAGGUCCAAUUUCAGACAUAUUCUAUUUUGACUAGGAUUGGCACUACGUAUUAAAGUCAGGAUAUUGAAGAAGGCACUAUCUGUUACCUUGCAGCAGACCGGGUAUAUUUUCCCUAACUGCAAAUCCUAUUUCAAAUCCAUAUAUAAUCAGUAAGUCUUCUCAACUAGCAAUGCAUUGGUUUAGUACUAAAUGUUUAAAACUCGCAACUACCGUUGAAUUGUUUUCGUACACUUUCAAGGAAUCCCUUAUUAUUAUACUCUGCAAUACUGAUUGAGCCAUCAAAUAUGUGAUUCAUUUUCCUACUGAAUCCUGCACCAGGUUGGCACACUUUGCCUCUGCUCUUCGCUAAUCAGAGUGGAUUCCAUGAGCAUUCUCUAUUUAUUUCACCUGUGCUAGGACACCAUAUCUACAGUUUGUUGUGAAUCUCGUAUUGAUACACUGCCUAUUGUGAAUCUCGUAUUGAUACGGUGCCUACUUUCCGGUUCAUUCAUCUUGUCCUUUUUUAUAUUGAUUGGUGGAAUGUUGCCACACUUUGCCUCUACAUAUAAGUUAUAGUCUCACAGGAGAUAUGACCACCUAUUGAAUCAGUUCUAUUUUAGCUCAAAGUAAUAUUGUGUCGUGUUAAUUGCAGUACUGUAGUAUCAGGCCUAGCGAUGAUUCAUGAGUUCUCAGCAAAAGAUAAUAGAAAAUGCAUUCAUACCUAUAAAUGCUAGAAGCAUUACAAUUGCUAAAAGUAACCAUAUACAAUUGCCAAGCCAGGAUCAAACCUUAUCGUGGAGGUGGUGGUAUUUUUUUUCAUGAUUCCCUUUCCCACGAGUUCCUUAGUUAUGUAAUAAAAAAAAUUGGUCAAGCUCUAUUUAUUCACGAUAUUCUUCCUAGAGAUGCAGCAAAUUGCUACUGUGUCCAAUUCCAAAGGGUUUAGUGGUCUACCAGGAAUUCUGUGCCUGGCUCAUAUGUUGGGAUGCCUGAUUCCAAAAGGGUUUAGUACUCUAAUGGAAAUUUUAUACCUGCCAGAUAUGUUGGGGAUAGUUUUGGAAGCGUGUCUCUAUUAAAGCUUGGUUUCGCUCAGAUAUAUUGGGGAUAGUUUUGGAAGUGUGUCUCUAUUAAAGCUUGGUUUGGCUCAGAGAAUGCCUAGCAGACAUGCUAGAUGGGAUUCCUUGUACUGAAUCUUGUCGUACAAUGUUGCUAAACUAGAAAUAUAUGUCUACCAUUUUCAAAGCAAAAUUUGUCAAUAAAUCUUAUUUUUUGUAUUUUUUCAGUAAGUGCUUAUAUUUAGAAGGUAGCACUACUCAGACAUUUAUUUAGUUUCCAGAAUAUUUUUUGUCAAAAGAGCAUCCAUAAAUUCAGGUGGAGCACUAAAAUUGUUCCCAUUUUGGAUAAUUAACUUUCGCAAUGAAUCCAUGGUCAGUGCAUUUCAUUUUGCUGCCUGCUUACCUCUAGAUUUAGUCAUUCGGUUGUCCAUUGCUACCUCCCUGUGCAGUUUUUUAAGCCCACUGAAGCUAGCAGUACCAGCUGGUCUACUUUCCAAGAAGUUUAUCUUCUCAGUUACCCUCACCGAACACUCAUAUACCUCUAGGUCAAGGAGGCAAUACCUGAUCAAGUCCAUUUUAGAUAGACCGGACGGGCAUACCUCAUCAUUAAAUAUUGUUACCUCUGCAGCGGCUGCACAGAUUGUUCCAGUUCCAGUAACCAGUUCCAUACAACCAGCAAGUUCACUUGGUACUCCAGAGUACGCAGCCUGAACCACAGCCUGUAUCCUUUGACUGUGGAACUAAAUCGACACCUGCUCCAGCAGCUGUCCCAGAUGAUACACCUCUAAAGGAUCUUAUCACCAAGUCGCCAACAGGAACAUCACACGCUCAUAGGAAACUGUUUCGAGAAAACACUCUCACUGAAAAGGAAACCAUAGCGGAACAAAAUUUGAACGCAAACGGAAUCAUAAGGAUAACCACAAUGGUCCAAUUGAUCCACUACUGCAGGCAAAAGAAAAAAAAGGGAGAUACUUGAAUUUAGAUGAUCUAGACCAAGAGAACAAAAGGUCGAUACUUGAAUUUAGAUGAUCCAGACCAAGAGAACAAAAGGUCUUGCUGCAAAAUAACCAAGAAACUGGUUUCGAGACCCACUGAUUGUAUAAGGCAUUGCAGUAUUAGUUAGUUGAGACUGUCCAAGACUUUCGUAAGCUUAUGUACUCGCUUCUAGGCUUGUCCAGUGUAUAUUAUUCAGGCUAUUAUGCUUUGAUCUCCUGGAUAUUACUUAAGAUGCCCAGGUCCUGUCCAAAAUUUAUAUGCCUAUCUAUUCAUGUACUUGCAAGAAGCAUAUAUGCUACCCGUACUAAUAUACUCCAGUAUGCAUGGAACUCAAUAUGCUAUCAUGUUUUUAAUUUGAA